GACUGUAGUGUUGCAGAUUAAUCCUUAGGUCGCUGGUUCGAAUCCGGCAGGUCGGAUUUCUUUU
rnacentral:sRNA from 1 species